GGGGGGGAGGGACUUUCCAGAUUUCAAACUCAGUAAAAGUUUUUUAUUUUCUAUUCUACAACAAGUAAAGAAGAUAAACCAUUUGCAUAUUAUUUAUUCUAUAUACACAUCUAUUAUAAUGAGUGAAGACUAGGUGUGAUAACAGAUUAUCUAGAAUGAUAAUAACUUACUUAUGACAUUAAUGUUUAGGUUUAUAAAAGAAGUAAGUAAGAACUUUAAAAUUAAAAUUCCCCAAAACAGAAGAUAAAGACCCCUUUCUAAAACAUCAUGACUGGACACCUUUUAAGCUUUGAAAAAAACAGAAACAGAAAAAAAAUCAUAGGAGGUUAAAUUCUUAAAUGUCCUUUUGUUCCAAGUUGCCACAGAGGUAAUUGAAACCCUUAACAAAAAAAUAAGUUCAGUUUUAACAAGCAUUGAAUUAAGAUAACAACACUAGGCUAAUGACACAACAAAUAGUUCAGCAUUUAUACAUUUUGAGCAGUGACAUUUUACUUCAAUAUUAACACCUAUUACAAUAAGUGAAAAUACUUUACUUUAAACAAGAACAUGAAAAGGUUAUAUUUUUAUAAGUAUUCACUCAGCUCUAUGCAGAAUAUCAUUUUUGAAAUCCUAAAAUUAGUUAAUGAUUUACAUACAAGAUGUCUCUUAUAUUGAAAGCAUUACACCUUCUCUGCAAUGAAAUUUAACCUAAAAAUGUUUAUAUCUUACGGUGUGCCAAAAUUACAUUUUGUACAAAUUAUAAUCAAGCUGUCAUUUGUUCCAGCAACUUUUCUCCUUUUUACAUGACACAAAUAUACACAGCUAAAAAUCUCACAAAUAAUAUUGCACAUUUAUACAUAUAUAUUUUUAGUAAAUUUAUAUAUAAAUAAAUACAGAACAAACCCAACUAAUAGGGUGUAAGAAGCUGUAACGGAUUUAACAACCUGAAACGUCUUCCCUGUUUAAUUGCUUGUAACUUCAUAAUAUCUUUAGAGACUUUGGAAAAUCUUACUAUAUGCAUGAAUGUUCACUGAUGAACCAUAUAAUCAAAGGUUAUCGUUGGUCAUCUCAACGAGAUUUAUUUUCUCGCUUAAGCCGGUACGGCGAAAAUGAGAAAAGCAAUCCAGCUGAGAUGACAAAUGAUAAUCUGUUAAUCGCUAUUUUACCUAUGAUGACGUUGUUAAUUUCAUUGACAACGGGGCAGGCACAUGUUCCCAUAGUUUCUAGCCAUAACUGAUCAUAUCACUCUACUCCACUGAGAAAGGUAAUUAUCAAUCAUUUAGAUCAAAGGAAAAUUUCAUAGAACAGCUACAAAUAAAGUUACAGUCAAUUCUACAGUAACUGAAAUAUUGAACCUUAAUAACUGAAACAAGGAAUCAAGUGAUUCUUAUCAAACAUAAACCUCACAUGAACCCUUUGACAUAUUUAAGUUGAUAUUUCUUAAGUGUAUCAUCUAAUAAUUUAAUUUUGGAUGUAACGCGUCUUCUGAUUGGCUGACGUUAUUGUAGAGCCCAUAGACAUAAUUUAGUCAUGUACGUAUCAACGUUUUUCAUGGUUUUACGGUUUAAAGGAAUUUAGAAUUAAAUUAUAAGAAAGACUGUAAUAUUUUUCUGUCUAUUCGAAUAACAUAAAGAAUGUGGUGCACACUGUAAAUAACCCACUACGCGCGUUUUUCAGUGUGCACCAAAUUUAUGUAUUUCUUCAUAGACAGAAAAAUUUACAGUCAUUCCUUAAUACCUUAAAGUAAAGUUCUUACAAUGUCAAUGAAAUAUCUUAAGUACUUCUCUAAACAUUAUUCUGAAAUGGACUUUAUCAGAUAACCCAAGAAUAUGUUAAUUCUGCUGUCUUACCAAAACCAUUGCCUAAAAAGUGACACCUAUGUCCUACUUUGUAAUAUUUGUAUCAAAUAAAAGGCAACAGUAGUAUACGUGUUCAAAAAUCGUAAUCUAUGGACAAAAACAAAAUCGGGGAAGUCAAACUAAAACUGAGGGAAACGCAUUAAAUAUAAGAGGAGAACAACGACACAACAUUCAAAUGUAACACACACAGCAACGGACUAAGCAAGAUGAGAAAUAAAGGAGAAUAUAAAUAGUUUUACAGCAUCACUUUCAGGGUUUAAGGAAGUUUGCUACUCAAUUUCAAAACAACAAGCUUUUCAUAAUACUAGUUCAUAUUGAUAGGGGAUUAAUGAAGGAACCAGAAAAGCCAAUAAUAAAUUUAAGUCUGUGUGCUUGUUUUCGAGAUAUUAGACAUUAACAUUAUCGUGGGAAAUAGAUUUUUCAUAGUUUUAUCAUUGACAAGUUGAAGUUCUCAAAAACUAUUGGAAAAUAUCAAAGAUUUUAUAAAGACUUUUACAGUUGGCUUAUAAAAAAAAAUGGGUUUAGUGGGCAAAUUUUUUAAGGCAUUCAAAUAAAUAUAAUCAGAGGAUUUUGAAAAUCUGACAAAAUAUACAUUAUCAAUAGAUCUAACCUCAAUGCAAUAAAUAUUACCAAAGGGAGAUAAUUCAUAAUAGUAUCAAUAGGGGAGAUAACUCACAUUUAACAUUAACAAUUUGCUUGGUUAAUAUUUUAUUCAUUGUCAUUAAAAAAAAAACCACCACUUUCACUGAUGUUGAUUUUUUCUCCAAUCAGAACAAAAAUUAGUUUUAUUGAUGUGAUAGGAACUGAGAACCAAGAAAUUCCUGUGUAUCACUCAACUUGUUUUUUUUUUUUUUAUUGUUGAAUAGAUCAUUCAUAAAAUAUUUUUUACAAAACAAAAACAAAAAUAUAUAGUACAUGUACAUCAACAGUAAACACUUUCAAAUUGGAAUGAUUUUAUCAAACAUAAUUUUGAACCUAAAUGAGAUUACUAAUUAUACCUAUGGAUAUCGAUUGAUGCAAUCUAACUUAUCAUACAACAUUAAGAAGUGUUGAUGGACAGAGAAAAGCUUCAACUAGUGGAGCCCUAAUUCAUUGGACAAUUUAUAUUUGCAAAAAAAUUAACAAGAUGAAUAUAUCAAUAAUAAAAACUUGCAUUCUUAAUAUUUGCUGACCAGUAAUAAUCUAUAACAAUAAGUACAUAACCCGAAUAAUCCAGUCGAUAUAUUACGCUCCCUGACGAUCACUUGAUAAACCUCAAAAGGUGGAGAGAAUUAAAGACUGUAAGGGCUUGAAUUAUUCGAGUUAAUUAGUACAGGGAUAUAUAGUAUAAAUCAAAAGCUGUUAUUCACAAAUAUAAUUAAUAUACAUGCACAUUAAAUUCAUUGAAUUAAUAAUUACCACGGCUGAAUCAUUCAUUUGGUAAAAUAUUUAACAUGUAAUUCAUCAUUUACAACCUUAGGUUAAAGUUCAUACAACUGUUGUAAAUCAAUUUUAAAAGUCUUAUAAAAUUUAGUAGGAAGAACAAAUUUAGAAC
rnacentral:lncRNA from 1 species